rnacentral:rRNA from 1 species
UGCCAGCAGCCGCGGUAAUACGGAGGGUGCAAGCGUUGUUCGGAAUCACUGGGCGUAAAGAGUUCGUAGGCGGACUUGUUAGUAUGGGGUUAAAGACCGGGGCCCAACCUCGGGACUGCUCUGUAAACGGCAAGUCUGGAGUAUGGAAGAGGGAAGCGGAAUUCCCGGUGUAGAGGUGAAAUUCGUAGAUAUCGGGAGGAACACCAGAGGCGAAGGCGGCUUCCUGGACCAGUACUGACGCUAAAGAACGAAAGCGUGGGGAGCAAACAGGAUUAGAUA